AGAGGGAAAGUUUGAUUUAAAUUCCUAGUUUACGACUAGGAGACCCAGCCAUAGCUGGUCCCUCAA
rnacentral:tRNA from 1 species